rnacentral:rRNA from 1 species
AUACGUAGGGGACGAGCGUUGUCCGGAAUUACUGGGCGUAAAGGGCGCGCAGGCGGAUAUUUAAGUCAGCUGUAAAAGGCAUGAGCUCAACUCAUGUAUGCGGUUGAAACUGGGUAUCUAGAGUGCUGGAGAGGUAGGCGGAAUUCCCGGUGUAGCGGGGAAAUGCGUAGAUAUCGGGAAGAACACCAGUGGCGAAGGCGGCUUACUGGCCAGCAACUGACGCUGAGGCGCGAAAGCCAGGGGAGCGAACGGGAUUAGAUACCCCGGUAGUCCUGGCCGUAAACGAUGAAUGAUAGGUGUGGGUGUCGAGAGGCAUCCGUGCCGGAGUUAACGCGAUAAGCAUUCCGCCUGGGGAGUACGAUCGCAAGAUUGAAACUCAAAGGAAUUGACGGGG